GGGAUUGUAGUUAAAUAUAACAUUUGAUUUGCAUUCAAAAAGUAUUAAUAAAUUAAUCUUC
rnacentral:tRNA from 1 species